rnacentral:rRNA from 1 species
AGAGUUUGAUCCUGGCUCAGGAUGAACGCUGGCGGUAUGCCUAACACAUGCAAGUCGUACGAGAGUUUUUAACUCUAGUGGCGGACGGGUGAGUAACACGUGAGAAUUUGCCUUUAGGAGGGGGAUAACAAUUGGAAACGAAUGCUAAUACCCCAUAUGCUUUCGAGUGAAAUGAAUUUUUUAUUUGCCUAAAGAGAAGCUCGCGGCUGAUUAGCUUGUUGGUAAGGUAAGAGCUUACCAAGGCGACGAUCAGUAUCUGGUUUGAGAGGACGAUCAGACACACUGGAACUGAGACACGGUCCAGACUCCUACGGGAGGCAGCAGUGGGGAAUUUUCCGCAAUGGGCGAAAGCCUGACGGAGCAAUACCGCGUGAGGGAAGAAUGCCUAUGGGUUGUAAACCUCUUUUUUCAGGGAGGAAUAAAUGACGUGUACCUGAAGAAUAAGCAUCGGCUAACUCCGUGCCAGCAGCCGCGGUAAG